rnacentral:lncRNA from 1 species
AGUCCUUCCCAAGCAAGGCUGCUUCAUCCUCUAAGCAUCCUCUGUUGGACACCUUCUGGAUGCUGGGACCAGGGAGAAAGGAAAGCUUUCUCCUUCUUCUUCCUGUUUUGCCUCAGCUGAGAGCAAAGUCAUCAGGGAGAACAUCCAGGAGGGCCGUCCACGUGGAGAUGGCAGGAAAGUGAGGAUCGCUUUGGGUGCUUUCUUCCCGGGAAGAGCAGCCCUGCGGCUUUGGCGUGUAGUGCAGGGUGAGUCAGGUUGCCUGGCUCCUCCUCUUCGUGGCGGCGAGCCCUCAGGAAAGCCACUUAAUCUCUUGGAAAGCCCAGUUUCCUCAAGUGUAAAGGUCAUAUUGAAGUUCCUGCGAGGUUGGGAAACACCAUCCUUUCCAGGUGGGCAGAUGAGGGCAGCCAUGCUCCUGUCCCCCCAUCACUCUGACCGCUGGAUCCUGUGACGUGGUGAGAUCGGCUCAGUCCCCACCUCCUCUAGGAAGUCCACCGAGAUGGAUGCAAGCUCCAAGAGUCUCCCCAUUGUGGCCUCAUUUUCCUAAUGACUAGUUUUUCUAAUUCCUUCCUCCUCCGUGUCUUAAGCCCUGCACAGACUGCUCAUUUCGUAGUAUGUAAGGCAUCUCGCCACUGGAAGGCACUGUGGUAUGGUGGUUAUGAGGCUGGCACCUGGAGCCAGGCUGCUUAGGUUGGAAUCCUGGCUGCACAUCUUGCAGGCUGUGUGACUUUGGACAACUUGCUUGCCUCCUCUGAGCCUGGAUUUCCUUAUUAUACCUCAUGUGUUUCUGUGAUAAUUGAGUGAGGUAAUGCAGGUGAAGGUCAGGUGCCCAAUAAACAACAUGCAGAUGAGGAAACUGAGGCUCAGGAAGGAGAGGAGCUCAACUGUAGGGUGCUUGCCACGUAUGGGAGUCUAGACAUGCCCCGGCAGAGAGGGAGCCACUCUUGUCUCUGUUUGGCAGAUGAGGGAACCGAGGCUCAGUUCCCACACGUCUGCAGGACUAUGAAGAAUUGGAGUUGGGUUGCUGACUCCAGUGUCCGAUACAAAGUCCAGAGCUCCUCUGCCUGCUUGGUGACAGGAGGGUAGGAAGAUGUGGGGUUUGGGGGCCCGUAGGCAAGGAGCUCAAAGCCCAGAAUAAACAUUCUUACAUUUUUCUCUGCUGCUUUGCCCAAACCGCAGGAGGAUUUUCAAGAGAACAGGGUGUUAGUGAGAGGAUGGGCUGACAGGCUGCCCUUUGGCAUUAAAAGAUUUGCAGAAGAGAGUGGGAGUGAGCAGCAGGGGGCGCUGUGACACCAGACAAGAGCCGAGGCCUCCCCGGGAACAGAGCCAGGCUCCCCGGCUCCUGAGUGGACCUUAGGCAGGCUGCAGGACAGGAGCCUGCCUGUCUGCUCAGGGCUCUUUCACCCGAGGACUGGGAACCAGAGGAGUCUCCCGAAAUCUGGCUGUGUGGGCGUUAGGAGCACUGACUCUGGAGUCAGCGGACUUGUAUUUGAGAGCCUGCUCAGCUCUUUCUCGUGAGUGAUCCUGGGCAAGUCACUUCACUGCUUGGAGCCUCAGUGGCCUCACUGAAAAAAAUUAAUACCUGUCUCCAGGACUGUGGGGAGGAUGAACGCGAUGAUGCAGGUCCCUUUCUUAGCAGGAUGCCUGGCGCCCAUGAUCGCCCAGUGAAUGGCAGUGAUUAUUGCUAAUGAGACAUAUAUGAUUUGCAGGGUGGUGUCCCAAAG